GAUGAACGCUGGCGGCGUGCCUAAUACAUGCAAGUCGAGCGAACAGACGAGGAGCUUGCUCCUCUGACGUUAGCGGCGGACGGGUGAGUAACACGUGGAUAACCUACCUAUAAGACUGGGAUAACUUCGGGAAACCGGAGCUAAUACCGGAUAAUAUAUUGAACCGCAUGGUUCAUUAGUGAAAGACGGUUUUGCUGUCCCUUAUAGAUGGAUCCUCGCCGCAUUAGCUAGUUGGUAAGGUAACGGCUUACCAAGGCGACGAUGCGUAGCCGACCUGAGAGGGUGAUCAGCCACACUGGAACUGAGACACGGUCCAGACUCCUACGGGAGGCAGCAGUAGGGAAUCUUCCGCAAUGGGCGAAAGCCUGACGGAGCAACGCCGCGUGAGUGAUGAAGGUCUUCGGAUCGUAAAACUCUGUUAUUAGGGAAGAACAAAUGUGUAAGUAACUAUGCACGUCUUGACGGUACCUAAUCAGAAAGCCACGGCUAACUACGUG
rnacentral:rRNA from 1 species